UACGGAGGGUGCAAGCGUUGUCCGGAUUUAUUGGGUUUAAAGGGUGCGUAGGCGGCUAUUUAAGUCAGUGGUGAAAUCCUGCAGCUUAACUGUAGAACAGCCAUUGAUACUGGAUAGCUUGAGUACAGACGAGGUAGGCGGAAUUUAUGGUGUAGCGGUGGAAUGCGCAGAUAUCAGGAGGAACACCGAUGGCGAAGGCAGCUCGCUGGGACGGUACUGACGCUGAGGCGCGAAAGCGUGGGGAGCGAACAGG
rnacentral:rRNA from 1 species